rnacentral:rRNA from 1 species
GACGAACGCUGGCGGCGUGCUUAACACAUGCAAGUCGAACGGAAAGGCCCUGCUUUUGUGGGGUGCUCGAGUGGCGAACGGGUGAGUAACACGUGAGUAACCUGCCCUUGACUUUGGGAUAACUUCAGGAAACUGGGGCUAAUACCGGAUAGGAGCUCCUGCUGCAUGGUGGGGGUUGGAAAGUUUCGGCGGUUGGGGAUGGACUCGCGGCUUAUCAGCUUGUUGGUGGGGUAGUGGCUUACCAAGGCUUUGACGGGUAGCCGGCCUGAGAGGGUGACCGGCCACAUUGGGACUGAGGUACGCACCAGACUCCUACGGGAGGCAGCAGUGGGGAAUAUUGCACAAUGGGCGGAAGCCUGAUGCAGCAACGCCGCGUGCGGGAUGACGGCCUUCGGGUUGUAAACCGCUUUCGCCAGUGACGAAGCGUGAGUGACGGUAAUGGGUAAAGAAGCACCGGCUAACUACGUG